UACGGAGGGUGCAAGCGUUGUCCGGAAUCACUGGGCGUAAAGGGCGCGUAGGCGGCUCAUGAAGGCUGUGGUGAAAGUCCGGGGCUCAACCUCGGAUCGGCCGUGGCGACUCGUGGGCUGGAGCACUGUAGAGGCGGGUGGAAUUCCGGGCGUAGCGGUGGAAUGCGUAGAGAUCCGGAAGAACACCAGUGGCGAAGGCGGCCCGCUGGGCAGUGGCUGACGCUGAGGCGCGACAGCGUGGGGAGCAAACAGG
rnacentral:rRNA from 1 species